CUGUAGUCCAGAAUGCUACUUAUCGAGAGGCUAUUAAGGUAAGACUCGAUAAGUGUGGGUAUAUUGUGAAUUUCUCAUUUCGUGUUUUUAGGUGUUUGUAUUAUUGGCAAUAUGUAGAGGAGCCAGUAACAUUUUAUACAAAUUAUUUACGCAUAGUUAUAGAGUAGAAUCACCUUUAAGUCUUGAAGAGAAACUAUAUGAUGUAUUUGAAAUAUAUUUAUUUUUAACAUCGCUAGCUCGAAUCCCAAGUCACAGUCGGGGUCCUUUUACCCAGCCGGUGCUGAGGAAAUUCGUAGAGAAAUGCAAGUCUUAUGCGCUGGCGGUUGUCUUUACGCCGUUGGUCACCGGACAAGCGACAUUUGAUAGAUAUUCUGUCUUUUUGUAGUAUUUGGAACCGUAUGUUUGUUAUAUUUGGAUAUUAACGGGGAUUUAUUUUGUUAGGUGUUUUGCGGAUCAACGGGUGGUCUGUCUUGGGCGGCUUUUGAGGUGUUUUUCGGAUCAACGAGCGGCAUGUCUUGGUCGGCCAUUGAGACGUUUUGCUGCAAUGCUAGCUGGUAUAUUUAGAUCGGAUCCUAAGGUACGUCAUGUGGAUAAAAGCUACUGCAUUAAAUUCUCAGCCAUGAGUUUAGGACUAUGAAAAUACGAUAUAUUCCUCCUUUCACUAUACCACUAAGUGUAUGUGAUCAGGGAAAGUUUUGAGUGAUUAAUGAGAAUACUUUGGGUAUCACAGAAAAGGCAGAUGAUAUGUUAAUUACUUUUUUGUAUAUUCACAAUAAAUAAAAGGAUUCUGCA